UGACCGGACAGGCGCAGACCACCAACCAGCUCCCUUCACUUCUACUGUUCACAAGUGAGACCAUGAAUGGAAAAAAGUCAGUGGCAAAAAUCCCACAUCCUGCUGAAGUUGGUGUGUAGAGGCUUUUCUAGCAAGUGAGACUCCCUCCAGGCUGGAAACAAACUCUUCCUUCCUGUCCUCUGCCUGUAGCAGAAAAUAGACCAGCCAAGCAGAUGUCCAGGGAUGGUGGAGGAGUACUUCGGGCUGUAGCUUCCUUGGACAGAAAACAAGCACUCAAGAGAGCCUUGGGGGCCCCUUUGUCUCUUUCCAGCUCUUUCCUGCCACUGUGAGACCUGUGACCUAAAUAUGGCCAGGGAAGUCUCCAGCAAUCGCAGUAUUUUUAAACUCUUGUGCCUCCUGUUUGCGGACCCAUGUGACGUAGGCGAACCAGAUCCAGAGAGUUUCUCAUGGGAAUCCAGGAUGCUUCGCCAUAACCGCUGGCUUGGGUUGUGCAUGCUUUUGGCCUUGGUUAAUGUAGCCCUUGGGGUUUCAUUUCACAUCUUUGAGACUUGGGAAGCAGCAGACCCUGUGAGUGCAGCAGGAAUGUGCCAGGGAGGCUAUCUUCAGGGUUCCCCCCAAGGAUGGCCACCUUGAGGCUGUGAGAACUUGCUGGCUGUGUAACUGGAGCCCAGCUUGGGGGCGGGAGGCAGUAAACCAGACAACUUAAUGCAGACAUGGGCACUAACGAGAGAGACCAGUUCUUGCCCCAUUUUAAUAGCCCUUCAUGUCCAAAUCCUCGUCAUUGUUGUUGUUGUUUGGUUUUGUUUGGCUGUCCUUGCAGAUUAUCCAGCUUUAGUUGUGAUAGGCUAUACAUGCCCCCAGCCCUUCCCUUCAGCAUUACUGUUUCCAGUGACUGUUUAUUUCUCUUUCUGCUGCUUCUGUUCAGAUCUUUCUCUCCACUGAAAACGUGUUUCAAAAUGUCCUGGAAUAGAAAAUAUUUUGUUUUAUUUAAGAAAUAUCUUUAUUUUCAAGCAAUUUCUUCAUCAGCAUUAAAGUAUAUCUGAAGAUAAAAUGAUAGGGAACCACUCACAAACUUCCUGAGUGAGAAAAAUGACCUUUAAAACAAUGAUGGAAUAAUGAAAUUGUCACUAGGGGUGUGGUUUUUUUGCCAGAAUACUAAAUGCAGUUAGUUCUCUAAGCUACACAUUGCGAAACUCUAGAUGUCACUAUUCACACUAUAGUUUACAUUUAAUGUGAGGAUUUCCUGACAAGUGUCAGUCAAGUGUCUUGAAGGAAGGGUGCCUUUUUCCGUUUUGUGCAAAAGGACUGUAUGAACUAGCAGUAUCUACUUUUUUCCCCCUAGUGCACUUUAUCUGCUAUAAUCACUGCUGUUUACUUAGUGCUGACUUUGUAUCAGAUGCUAAUAUAGUCAGUGUCGCGCUUGUAACCCAGCUCUAAAAAAAAAGAAGCCUGGAUUGCAGUGUUUGCCAAUUUCCAUGGUGUAAAUAUUCCCCCAUGGCCAAGUUCAAGCUACCAAAGUUCUUGAAAGUAAAGCCAACUACAGUUGGCUUUCCUGAGCCAGUAGGAGUCAGGCCCAGCGUACUGCUGCUGGCUCUAAGUAUUAACGGCCUUAAGUAUUAA